GGUCUUGACAUCUAGUGCAAUCUGUAGAGAUAUGGAGUUCCCUUCGGGGACGCUAAGACAGGUGGUGCAUGGCUGUCGUCAGCUCGUGUCGUGAGAUGUUGGGUUAAGUCCCGCAACGAGCGCAACCCUUGUUAUUAGUUGCCAGCAUUAAGUUGGGCACUCUAAUGAGACUGCCGGUGACAAACCGGAGGAAGGUGGGGAUGACGUCAAGUCAUCAUGCCCCUUAUGACCUGGGCUACACACGUGCUACAAUGGNCAGUACAACGAGAAGCAAGCCUGCGAAGNCAAGCGAAUCUCUGAAAGCUGUUCUCAGUUCGGACUGCAGUCUGCAACUCGACUGCACGAAGCUGGAAUCGCUAGUAAUCGCGGAUCAGCACGCCGCGGUGAAUACGUUCCCGGGCCUUGCACACACCGCCCGU
rnacentral:rRNA from 1 species